AGCUUUGCGCAGUGGCAGUAUCGUAGCCAAUAAGGUUUAUCUGAGACGCGAUUAUUGCUAAUUGAAAACUAAAAUCUCAAAGCCCCAAUGACACACUUCCUCCAACAAGGCCACACCUCCUUAUCCUUCUAAUCCUAUCAAAGAGUUUCAUUUCCUAGUGACUAAGCAUUCAAGUAUAUGAACCUAGGGGGAGUCUUUAUUGUUUUGUUUUUUAUUAUUUGUUUGUUUGUUUUCAAA